rnacentral:rRNA from 1 species
GACGAACCGUGCGAACGUUGUUCGGAAUCACUGGGCUUAAAGGGCGCGUAGGCGGGCAGGCAAGUCUGGGGUGAAAGCCCACGGCUCAACCGUGGAAGCGCCUUGGAUACUGCCGGCCUCGAGGGAGGUAGGGGCGUGCGGAACUUCCGGUGGAGCGGUGAAAUGCGUAGAUAUCAUUAGGAACGCCGGUGGCGAAAGCGCUCGACUGGACCUCUUCUGACGCUGAGGCGCGAAAGCUAGGGGAGCAAACAGG